rnacentral:tmRNA from 2 species
GGGUCCGUACCGGUUUUGACAGGUUGGCGAAAUCUACUCUGUGACUCAGGUCGAGAGUGAGUAUUCUCUCGAAAAUAAAAUGCUCAAAACAAAAGUAAAUGCGAAUAAUAUCGUGUCUUUUGCUCGUAAGCCCGUUGCAGCUAUUGCAUAGGUAAUAAGCCUCUUAUAGGUUCGAGCCUUCAUUGUCUGACUCCGUUAACGACUUUGGAGCUAACCCCAACGGAUAUGCCAAUUAGUUAUCUCUGGUUAAUUAGUUGGUAAGAAACUUACUAGAGUAUCCUGGCGUUCGGGAUAAUGAACGUUCCCCGCCCUGAGGGUAAAAGGGGCUAAACCUGUGAAUGAGCGGGGGGUUAAUACCCAGUCUGGACAGCAGUUCGACUCUGCUCGGAUCCACUA